UGGGGAAUUUUGGACAAUGGGGGCAACCCUGAUCCAGCAAUGCCGCGUGUGUGAAGAAGGCCUUCGGGUUGUAAAGCACUUUUGUCCGGAAAGAAAACGUCGUGGUUAAGUAACCCGUGGCGGCUGACGGUACCGGAAGAAUAAGCACCGGCUAACUACGUGCCAGCAGCCGCGGUAAUACGUAGGGUGCAAGCGUUAAUCGGAAUUACUGGGCGUAAAGCGUGCGCAGGCGGUCCGCUAAGACAGAUGUGAAAUCCCCGGGCUUAACCUGGGAACUGCAUUUGUGACUGGCGGGCUAGAGUAUGGCAGAGGGGGGUAGAAUUCCACGUGUAGCAGUGAAAUGCGUAGAGAUGUGGAGGAAUACCGAUGGCGAAGGCAGCCCCCUUGGGCCAAUACUGAGCUCAUGCACGAAAGCGU
rnacentral:rRNA from 1 species